CCCCCUGUGAGAAUGCCCUACAGCUCCCUGCCCGGGAGCAAGGAGCUGGUAUCAGGCACACACCCGUAAGCCCAUGACACCUUGCUUAGCCACACCCUCAAGGGAACUCAGCAGUGAUAAACAUUAAGCCAUAAGUGAAAACUUGACUUAGUUAAAGCUAAGAGGGCCGGUAAAACUCGUGCCAGCCACCGCGGCUAUACGAGAGGCCCAAGUUGAUACCAUUCGGCGUAAAGAGUGGUUAUGGAAAAUAAAAACUAAAGCCGCACGCCUUCAAAGCUGUUAUACGCAUCCGAAGGUUAGAAGAUCAAUCACGAAGGUAGCUUUACAACCCCUGACCCCACGAAAGCUCUGGCACAAACUGGGAUUAGAUACCCCACUAUGCCUAGCCCUAAACCUUGGCAAUAUAUCACAUACCCUGCCCGCCUGGGAACUACGAGCACCAGCUUAAAACCCAAAGGACUUGGCGGUGCUUUAGACCCCCCUAGAGGAGCCUGUUCUAGAACCGAUAACCCCCGUUCAACCUCACCCUUCCUUGUUUAUCCC
rnacentral:rRNA from 1 species